rnacentral:rRNA from 2 species
CCGUUGGUGAACCAGCGGAGGGAUCAUUAC